rnacentral:tRNA from 1 species
GAGGGUAUAGCUUAGUGGCAGAGCACAUGCUUAGCAUGCACAAGGUCCUGGGUUCAAUCCCCAGUACCUCCA